AAUGAACGCUGGCGGCAGGCCUAACACAUGCAAGUCGAACGGAUCCUUCGGGAUUAGUGGCGGACGGGUGAGUAACGCGUGGGAACAUACCCUUUGGUACGGAAUAGCCUCGGGAAACUGGGAGUAAUACCGUAUGUGGUCGAGAGACGAAAGAUUUAUCGCCAAAGGAUUGGCCCGCGUUGGAUUAGGCAGUUGGUGGGGUAAUGGCCUACCAAGCCGACGAUCCAUAGCUGGUUUGAGAGGAUGAUCAGCCACACUGGGACUGAGACACGGCCCAGACUCCAACGGGAGGCAGCAGUGGGGAAUCUUAGACAAUGGGGGAAACCCUGAUCUAGCCAUGCCGCGUGAUCGAUGAAGGCCUUAGGGUUGUAAAGAUCUUUCAGGUGGGAAGAUAAUGACUGUACCACCAGAAGAAGCCCCGGCUAACUCCGUGCCAGCAGCCGCCGUAA
rnacentral:rRNA from 1 species